UUUCUUAUAAACCCAUGUAUACACACAGCCCAGCGUUCCUAGUUCGGGUGGACUGGUGUCAGUGUUUCUGCUGAGUGCAGUUGAUAGUCCCUGCAGGCAGCCUGUCCAAACAGAUGUUGGCCUACAGCUAUGCAUGGAUCACACUCAAGAUCUCCCACUGACUGCCACACACACACACACACACACACGCACACAAACAGACUCUGCUCUGCUAUCGUUUUGGACCUUCUCCCUUCAAAUUCCCAUGUGAGCAUAAAGUAAAGAAUUAGAUUUUGUGUGCAUGCAUGUGCUUUAGCGCAGAUAGUGAGGAGCUAACUGAUCUCUGCUUCAUUACAGUUUGCACAUAUUUUUUCAUCAUGAAUGUUGAUCUGCCUUCAAAACACCCAGUAAUCAUUACAACUCACCUUUACGGCAUUGGUUCUGGCUUUUGUUCGCACGGAGCUCGUUCUGGGACUGAAUCCGGCAAUCCCGGAAUAAAUCCCGGGACGUGUAUGCGUUCACACAGAAGGCAGCCCGGCAAUUAUCCGGCAAUUUUCUGAGACCAAUGUGCAGUGUGGAAGGGGCUUAAGAGUGAAAGAUUUGGAGUCAGUGUGGCAAAACGCUAUCAAUCACUCAGCCAGCAGAACGUCCAGUAAUUAGAGUGCUGUUUUUUCUGUUCCAGAGGUGUGUGUGUGUGUGUGUGUGUGUGUGUGUGUGUUUGUUCCUGAAUAAGAUAAGAUAGGUGUAUGAUUAUAGUGAAUUUUUUGUAGUGGAUGUUUUUCUAGAAUUGUAUAUAAAUGAAUGGAUUAGAUUUUAAUAUGGUGGUUUGCCUCGUGUACUGAAAAUGCCGUGCUGGUAGUUCUCAUUGGCUUUAUUGAUUCCCAUUUUGUAAUUGUCAGCGCUUCUCAUUGGCUGUGAUGAAUUGUUAUUGUAUCCCUCUACUCAAUCCCUUGAUUGUAUUUAUCAAUACUGGUAGACAUUAUCAGUGAGAUGUUUAGGGAUGGAAAUAUCAAGGGUCAUGUGGAUUGACAUUAUCAUGAGUUGAUGAACAGUGUAUUGAUUUGAUUAUGAUUUAGUGUCGACCUUACCAUGUUGUUAGUGACGUGAUCGAUUCGACUCGGCUGCUGGAAUGUCUUAGCAGUUUCGGUGAAUUACCUCUAUGUUCUGUUGGCAGAUUUCUUAACUAAUGAACUGAACUCACCUCCUGAACUGAGAUGGGUAUGUUAGAUUUAAUAAAUGAAUGCACUGUGGUUUGACUUGGAUUAAUUUUCUAAAUGUAACUGGAAUGUAAUUAAAGUAAGGUUUGAAAAUA